GGGCUCACACAAGCGGUGGAGGAUGUGGCUUAAUUCGAGGCUACGCGAAGAACCUUAUCCUAGUCUUGACAUGCUUGGAUUAACCCCCAUGAAAGUGGGGCCACGCCUUCGGGUGGAACAAGCACAGGUGCUGCAUGGCUGUCGUCAGCUCGUGUCGUGAGAUGUUGGUUAAGUCCCGCAACGAGCGCAACCCUCGUCCUUAGUUGCUACCAUUUAGUUGGGCACUUUAAAGAGACUGCCGGUGAUAAACCGGAGGAAGGUGAGGACGACGUCAAGUCAGCAUGCCCCUUACGCCCUGGGCUACACACGUACUACAAUGGCCGAGACAGAGGGCUGCGAACCCGCGAGGGCAAGCGAA
rnacentral:rRNA from 1 species